GGGCCGGUGGUCUAGCCCGGUUAUGACGCCACCCUUACAAGGUGGAAGUCGGCAGUUCAAAUCUGCUCCGGCCCA
rnacentral:tRNA from 2 species